UUAAGCAUAUCAAUAAGCGGAGGAAAAGAAACUAACAAGGAUUCCCCUAGUAACUGCGAGUGAAGAGGGAAAAGCUCAAAUUUAGAAUCUGUCAGUCUUGGCUGACCGAGUUGUAAAUUAGAGAAGUGCUAUCAGCGCUGGCCUGUGCAAAAGUCUCUUGGAAAAGGGCAUCAUAGAGGGUGACAAUCCCGUCUUUGGUACAGAGCUCCAGGGCUAUAUGAUGUGCUCUCGAUGAGUCGAGUUGUUUGGGAAUGCAGCUCUAAAUGGGUGGUAAAUUCCAUCUAAAGCUAAAUAUUGGCGAGAAACCGAUAGCGCACAAGUACCGUGAGGGAAAGAUGAAAAGAACUUUGAAAAGAGAGUUAAACAGUACGUGAAAUUGUUGAAAGGGAAACGCUUGAAGUCAGUCGUGUCCUUCAGAAAUCAACCUGACCUUGGUCUGGCUUACUUUCUGGUGGAYGGGUCAGCAUCAAUUUUGACCAUUGGAUAAAGGCCUUGGGAAAGUGGCAUCUUCGGAUGUGUUAUAGCCCUUGGUUCACAUACAAUGGUUGGGAUUGAGGAACUCAGUGUGAACUUGGGGCCUUGGCYCACAACACGCACUUAGGAUGCUGGCAUAAUGGCUUUAAUCGACCCGUCUUGAAACACGGACCAAGGAGUCUAACAUACAUGCGAGUG
rnacentral:rRNA from 1 species